ensembl:lncRNA
CAACUCCCAGCGCCGAAGGGGGUAGCGGGCGCGACGCUGGCGCUUCAAGCAGCCGGCGCGGUCUCCGGGGGGAAGGGGCCCCGCCGGGUUUGUGGGGCGGCCGACCGCGGCCCUCGAGGUCGGAGGGAAGACGGGAGGCUGAGGCGAGGGCGAGGAAAGGAAUAGGGGAAACGCCUUCCCAGCCGCCCCUUCCCGGCUUCCUUCCCAGCCUGGCCCCGAGGGAGCCCCGCCGCCCCCACUAAGAAUCUCUGUUAUUGGUGGGUAAAUUUAACUUAAGCUGGAAAAGGAACCUCAAGGGGAUGAAAGGAGGAGGCGUGGAAGAAGGAGAGGAGGGUGAGAAUUGCAGCAGUUUAAGGUACAGGAGGUCUCUUGCACCAAAACUACCCAGGAUGCAGUGAAUAUUUCCAUGUGGACAGAAGCAGUCAUCUAAAUGCACAAAUGGCUUGAUUGCCCCAAUUAAGCCUGACCCAACCUGGGAUACCUUCUCUGCCCAUGCAUGUGUUUUGUGCCGUCAAGUAGGAACCAAAUUAUACCAGCCCUAAUAGAGCUUUCAAGGUAACAGAUAUUUUAAAAGGUGGUUUUAGGAGGUCUCCUCCCCCAGUCUGCUUCCAUGGCUGAGCAGGAUUUGAGUUUUCAGACGGGAGAGACUCUUCUGGGAGUCAUUGUGCUCCCACCGGCAGAUUCCUCCAGCAAGGAUUAACCCGGAACAUCUGAAUCUGCUUCCGCUGGAUUGUGGAGCCUCAGAUGGUGACAUAUCUCCCGAAUGGAAGGUGGCCUUGGACACAGGCAAUCGGCAGGCCUGCUCCAACCCGAAGAGCGAGUGUCAGGUUGAAAAUCAAGACUGGCAGCUGCCUUUCAACAGACAGUUCCUCACGAGGUGGUCCUGCUUCUGCUGAGAAAUUCUGCUCAAUCUCCUCCAACAUAUUGUUGCUGUAAUGGCACAAUAAGAACAUGGACCGCAUCAAAAGCUUCCCACAAGAUCCUUGUCAUUUUUAAUCACAUGAGAGAUCUGCAUGUUCCAAAAGGUCCUUGAAGUUCUCUUAAAUCCAGUGACGGGAGGUAAGGAGCAACCUGGUAUCUCUUUGAUUAAAUGCCAAUGUUUUACAAUCCUCUUUCUAAAAGUAUUUAAUAGAAAGAUAUUGAAUAGAUAGGUUGGAGCACAAGGCUGGAAAACAGAAUAAUGAUGUUUUCCAAAUUAACCAUAUAAAGAUGAUCCCCCCCCCCGGCUGCGGCUGCUGCUGCUGCUGCUGCUGCACAACCUGUAGCCACCCAUUUUAUAUUCACGAAGGCUUCCACGGCCGGGAUCUGAUGGUGGUCGUGGGUUUUUUGGGCUCUUUGGCUCUUUGUUCUGGAGGUGGUUCUUCCUGACGUUUCGCCCGUCUCUCUGUGGCCAUGGGCCUCUUCAGAGGGGAGCACAGGCCAGGGUUUCCUCUUGCUUUUAAAGCAAGGUUUCCUCUUGCUUUUAAAAGGAAUUUAAUAUGUUGGGAAAGGUCCUCGUCAAUUUCCUGAUAAUUGGUUAUAUCAUUUAAUUUUCUUCUGUUGCUUUCAAAGCAACCAUCCUCUCUGUUUUUGUACUGCAACUGCAACCCCUCUUACCCGCCUCCUUUGCAAUAAUAGACUCAUCUGAUGCUAGAGGGUUUUUUUUUAAUGGCCAGCUAUUCUCUUCUACUGCUGUCUUAAUUUACAUUUUUCCUCAUUUAUCUCUAUAUAUGAAUUCUAAAAUUAGGGAUCAGUGAGGUAUCUUCUCAGUUUGUCUUAUUCUCCAAAAGUUUUUUUUUAAGUUUUAUUUGUUUUAUCAACUUAAAUAAAUCCACUCUAGUUUUGAAUGGUUUGUAAUCA